CUGCGCGAUCAGGCAACCGCUGGAUGCGCUCGAGCGAGAGCGUGUCGAGAGGAAAGUCCGGUCUUCAUAGGGCAGCAUGCCGGCUAACGGCCGGGGGCUUGUGCUCAAAAAGCACGAGCUACGGAAAGUGCCACAGAAAAGAUACCGCCCGCCGGUUCUGCCGGCGAGUAAGGGUGAAAAGGUGCGGUAAGAGCGCACCGCGGCCCGAGCAAUCGGGCUGGCAGGGUAAACCCCAUGCGAAGCAAGACCAAAUAGGGGAGGAGGAGUGGCCCGCUCCGCUACCACUUCCGGGUAGGUCGCUCGAGCCUUUCAGCGAUGAGAGGCCUA
rnacentral:RNase_P_RNA from 1 species